CUCUAGUGUACCGGUUGUUCUGCCAUGAGCAUCGCCGGGUAGCUAUGUUCGGACGUGAUAAGCGCUGAAAGCCUCUAAGCGCGAAACACACCCCAAGAUUAGGGAUCCCGUGGCUUCGGCCACUAAGGCUCGUUGGAGAUUACGACGUCGAUAGGCGGGAGGUGUAAGGCCCGUGAGGGCUUCAGCCGACCCGUACUAAUAAGCCGAGGGGCUUGGCC
rnacentral:rRNA from 1 species